CAUCACGAGGAUUAUACUGUCUCCCUCUUUAAAUCAGUGAAACUGAUCUCCCCGUGAAGAAGCGGGGAUAUUCAUAUAAGACGAGAAGACCCCAUGGAGCUUUAAACCCAACAACAUCUAUUUUUUAUACACCUUCAUAUUUGCGUAGUCCUUGUUUAAUCGGUUUUAGGUUGGGGUGACCGCGGAGCACAAAAAAACCUCCACGAAAAAAAGACUAAUAGUCCUUAUCCAAGAUACACACCUCUAAGAAUUAACAUAUUAAUUUUUAAUGAUCCGCCAUUCGAUCAACGAACUAAGUUACCCUGGGGAUAACAGCGCAAUCUACCUUGAGAGCCCCUAUCGACAGGUGGGUUUACGACCUCGAUGUUGG
rnacentral:rRNA from 1 species